rnacentral:rRNA from 1 species
AAUCAACGCUGGCGGCGUGCCUCAGACAUGCAAGUCGAACGCGAAAGGUUCCUUCGGGGACCGAGUAGAGUGGCGCACGGGUGAGUAACACGUAGGUAAUUUGCCUUUGGGUGGGGAAUAACUCAGGGAAACUUGAGCUAAUACCGCAUAAUGCAGCGGCUCGACAUCGAGACAGUUGUUAAAGCGGGGGAUUCGCAAGAACCUCGCGCCUAAAGAGAAGCCUGCGGCAGAUUAGCUAGUUGGUAAGGUAAUGGCUUACCAAGGCGACGAUCUGUAACCGGCCUNAGGAGGGCGGUCGGUCACACUGACACUGACAUACGGGUCAGACUCCUAC